AUUGAACGCUGGCGGCAGGCCUAACACAUGCAAGUCGAGCGAGCGGCGGACGGGUGAGUAAUGUCUGGAAAACUGCCUGAUGGAGGGGGAUAACUACUGGAAACGGUAGCUAAUACCGCAUACGAUCAGAUGGGCCCAGAUGGGAUUAGCUAGUAGGUGGGGGAAAGGCUCACCUAGGCGACGAUCCCUAGCUGGUCUGAGAGGCUGACCAGCCACACUGGGACUGAGACACGGCCCAGACUCCUACGGGAGGCAGCAGGGGGGAAUAUUGCACAAUGGGCGAAAGCCUGAUGCAGCCAUGCCGCGUGAGUGAAGAAGGCUUUAGGGUUGUAAAGCACUUUCAGCGGGGAGGCGUUACUCGCAGAAGAAGCACCGGCUAACUCCGUGCCAGCAGCCGCGGUAAUAC
rnacentral:rRNA from 1 species